GCCAGCCCGCUCAGAAACUUAAAGGAAUUGACGGGGCCCGCACAAGCGGAGGAGCAUGUGGUUUAAUUCGAUGAUACGCGAGGAACCUUACCUGGGCUCGAACGUAAGAUGACUGUAGGUGAAAGCUUACGUCUCUUCGGAGCAUUUUACGAGGUGCUGCAUGGUUGUCGUCAGCUCGUGCCGUGAGGUGUCGGGUUAAGUCCCAUAACGAGCGCAACCCCUACCUUUAGUUGCCAUCAGGUUAAGCUGGGGACUCUAAAGGAACUGCCUACGCAAGUAGUGAGGAAGGCGGGGAUGACGUCAAAUCAGCACGGCCCUUACGUCCAGGGCUACACACGUGCUACAAUGGCCGAUACAGAGGGCAGCUACCUGGUGACAGGAUGCAAAUCUCCAAAGUCGGUCUCAGUUCGGAUCGGAGUCUGCAACCCGACUCCGUGAAGUUGGAUUCGCUAGUAAUCGCGCAUCAGCCAUGGCGCGGUGAAUACGUUCCCGGGCCUU
rnacentral:rRNA from 1 species